AUGGCUGACGCGAGUCAAAGUUUAGUGUCUGUUCCUAUCAGCUUGAUAUCUGAUAAGGUUCUAUUUGGACGCAAGAUAUUAAACUUAUUUCUGCAAGCAUGAGCUUGUGGAAUGCUUGAAGCGUGCAUUACCUCCGCCGUGCCUCGGUCCGGUAUUUCGCUAACUCCGGUAUCGGCCCAUCGUUU